rnacentral:rRNA from 1 species
CAAUUAUACAGCGAAACUGCGAAUGGCUCAUUAUAUAAGUUAUCGUUUAUUUGAUAGUACUUUACUACUUGGAUAACCGUGGUAAUUCUAGAGCUAAUACAUGCUAAAAAUCCCGACUUCGGAAGGGAUGUAUUUAUUAGAUUAAAAACCAAUGCCCUUUGGGCUCCUUGGUGAAUCAUGAUAACUUCUCGAAUCGCAUGGCCUUGCGCCGGCGAUGGUUCAUUCAAAUUUCUUCCCUAUCAACUUUCGAUGUUUGGGUAUUGGCCAAACAUGGUCGCAACGGGUAACGGAGGGUUAGGGCUCGACCCCGGAGAAGGAGCCUGAGAAACGGCUACUACAUCCAAGGAAGGCAGCAGGCGCGCAAAUUACCCAAUCCCGACUCGGGGAGGUAGUGACAAUAAAUACUGAUACGAGGCUCUUUUGGGCCUUGUAAUUGGAAUGAGUACAAUUUAAAUCUCUUAACGAGGAACAAUUGGAGGGCAAGUCUGGUGCCAGCAGCCGCGGUAAUUCCAGCUCCAAUAGCGUAUAUUAAAGUUGUUGUGGUUAAAAAGCUCGUAGUUGAACCUUGGGCCUGGCUGGCCGGUCCGCCUCACCGCGUGUACUGGUCCGGCCGGGCCUUUCCCUCUGUGGAACCUCAUGCCCUUCACUGGGUGUGACGGGGAAGCAGGACUUUUACUGUGAAAAAAUUAGAGUGCUCCAAGCAGGCCUAUGCUCGAAUACAUUAGCAUGGAAUAAUGAAAUAGGACGUGCGGUUCUAUUUUGUUGGUUUCUAGGACCGCCGUAAUGAUUAAUAGGGACAGUCGGGGGCAUCAGUAUUCAAUUGUCAGAGGUGAAAUUCUUGGAUUUAUUGAAGACUAACUACUGCGAAAGCAUUUGCCAAGGAUGUUUUCAUUAAUCAGGAACGAAAGUUAGGGGAUCGAAGACGAUCAGAUACCGUCGUAGUCUUAACCAUAAACUAUGCCGACUAGGGAUCGGACGAUGUUAUUUUUUGACUCGUUCGGCACCUUACGAGAAAUCAAAGUGUUUGGGCUCCAGGGGGAGUAUGGU